rnacentral:rRNA from 1 species
GAUGAACGCUGGCGGCGUGCCUAAUACAUGCAAGUCGAGCGAACGGACGAGAAGCUUGCUUUUCUGAUGUUAGCGGCGGACGGGUGAGUAACACGUGGAUAACCUACCUAUAAGACUGGGAUAACUUCGGGAAACCGGAGCUAAUACCGGAUAAUAUUUUGAACCGCAUGGUUCAAAAGUGAAAGACGGUCUUGCUGUCACUUAUAGAUGGAUCCGCGCUGCAUUAGCUAGUUGGUAAGGUAACGGCUUACCAAGGCAACGAUGCAUAGCCGGCCUGAGAGGAUGAUCAGUCACACUGGAACUGAGACACGGUCCAGACUCCUACGGGAGGCAGCAGUGGGGAAUAUUGGACAAUGGGCGAAAGCCUGAUCCAGCCAUGACGCGUGUGUGAAGAAGGUCUUCGGAUUGUAAAGCACUUUAAUUUGGGAGGAAGGGCAGUAAGUGAAUACCUUGCUGUUUUGACGUUACCAACAGAAUAAGCACCGGCUAACGUCGUG